rnacentral:rRNA from 1 species
CCCUUAGAUGUUCUGGGCCGCACGCGUGCUACACUGAGCGGGCCAACGGGUGAGGAUGUGCGAAAGCGCUUCCCAAUCUCUAAAUCCGCUCGUGCUGGGGAUCGAGGCUUGCAAUUAUCCCUCUUGAACGAGGAAUACCUUGUAAGCACGGGUCAUCAUCCCGUGCUGAAUACGUCCCUGCCCUUUGUACACACCGCCCGUCGCUCCUACCGAUUGGACGAUCCGGUGAAUUGCUUGGAACAGCCACGGAGUCAAUUUUGAAUCUGUGGAGGUGAAAAGUUGUAAACCUUAUCGUUUAGAGGAAGGAGAAGUCGUAACA